rnacentral:rRNA from 1 species
ACGUAGGGGGCGAGCGUUGUUCGGAAUUACUGGGCGUAAAGGGCAUGUAGGCGGUCUUGUAAGCUUGGCGUGAAAGACCACGGCUCAACCGUGGGAUUGCGUUGAGAACUGCGAGGCUUGAGUGACGGAGAGGGAGCUAGAAUUCCUGGUGUAGGGGUGGAAUCUGUAGAGAUCAGGAAGAAUACCAAUGGCGAAGGCAAGCUCCUGGCCGAUGACUGACGCUGAGGUGCGAAAGUGUGGGGAUCAAACAG